rnacentral:tRNA from 3 species
CAUUAAGAAGCUAAAAUAGCACUAGCCUUUUAAGCUAGAGAUUGAGAGUACGAUGCUCUCCUUAAUGA